CAGUGAACAGUGAGUGCAACGGUGGUGUGAAGAUGGGCGUGGUGAUACGAAUAAGGAAGGCCCUUAUAGGCUAACAUAUUUGAAUGCUUAGUCAUCUUGGAGCAGCACUGUUUGAGAAGGAUUAGAGGGAUGAGGAAGUGCGGCCAUGUUGGAGGAAGUGUAACAGUGGGGUGUGCUGUGUGGAUCCGGAUGUAGAACUCUCAGCUAAUUCUCUAGCACCAAGUAUCGCUGGAUGCUACCAUGCUCCCUGCCAGGAUGAUAAAGGACUAAGCUUUGAAAGUGCUCAUUUUAUGUGUGAACCUGAUUCUCAGCGUGGGAAAAAUACUAGCACCAAAUGCACGGUAAAACCUGCAGCGAGCCUACAGCCUUAAGGAGCAAGUGAUCACCUGGUCUCUUCUCUUCUCUUCUCUUCUCUUCUCUUCUCUUCUCUUCUCUUCUCUUCUCUUCUCUUCUCUUCUCUUCUCUUCUCUUCUCUUCUCUUCUCUUCUCGUGCAUAAAGUAGUAAAAUUAAGACAUGUCAACCUGGAUAAAUAAAAUCACGAUAACAAAAAGGAGCUGGAGCUGCGCAUCAAAAGGAGAAGGGACAACACUUAGCACCCUGGAGAUUCACUAGCAAGUUCUCUUAGUGUCCAUCUGGCUUGUGACAAUGUCGACCGACAAUUAGAACAACCAUCGAGAAUAAAAAGGGGCAGUCAACUAUGAACUCAGUCCCUCUAAGAAUGAAGUCUGACCCCUUAGUGCAAGAUGGAAAUCAGGAGAAAGAGAGAAACACACCAAGGAAUUUCUGGUGGUAUUCCACUUCCAAGGAUCCUCGAGGUUUCUGCUGGAUGGAGCCACUGCUGCUGACUUUGGUGUUUGCUAUUGGACUGGACUGCUGAUAUCCUGACAACAAAGAUUGGAACUACCCCUAAAAACUACUUCUAAGACUGAAAGGUAUGAAGAUCUGUGGCAAGAGGCAUGUCAGAGAAUAAGCCGAAGAAUUCUGUUAUUUUAUAGCAUUAGAUCUUCUUUCCUGUCAAAUCUGUCACUUGUGCCCUGACUCUGGCUGGGAUGAAGAGAACAAGAUGGAAAUAAAGAUAUGGAAUGCAGUGUACACUAUGUGUUUCUGCACUAACUUCCUGAAUGACUUCCUGGAUUGUGUUGCUGGAGAUGGCUCUCUGUGGACUCCUGUAUCAAUGUUUCCCUGGCAUGGGGGCAGAGCAGUCUCAGUGGUAUGUUUCUAGCUGCUGUCCCAGCCUAAAGGAUUUAAUUAUGCGUGAAGAGUUGAAACUGGAUUAUUUCUUGUUUCUUGAAUGUUGUAUGUUCCAGGCUUUGAGCCUUAGCCUACCUGAAACUCUUUCUUGCUAUCUACAGACAACCUUAUGUUUCUGGGGUCAUCUCAAAUGCUGUUCUUUCUAUAAAAUAUUUGUCCUAGAAGUGA
rnacentral:lncRNA from 1 species